GACGAACGCUGGCGGCGUGCCUAAUACAUGCAAGUAGAACGCACAGUUUAUACCGUAGCUUGCUACACCAUAGACUGUGAGUUGCGAACGGGUGAGUAACGCGUAGGUAACCUGCCUGGUAGCGGGGGAUAACUAUUGGAAACGAUAGCUAAUACCGCAUAAUAUUAAUUAUUGCAUGAUAAUUAAUUGAAGGGUGCAAUUGCACCACUACCAGAUGGACCUGCGUUGUAUUAGCUAGUAGGUGAGGUAACGGCUCACCUAGGCGACGAUACAUAGCCGACCUGAGAGGGUGAUCGGCCACACUGGGACUGAGACACGGCCCAGACUCCUACGGGAGGCAGCAGUAGGGAAUCUUCGGCAAUGGACGAAAGUCUGACCGAGCAACGCCGCGUGAGUGAAGAAGGUUUUCGGAUCGUAAAGCUCUGUUGUAAGAGAAGAACGGGUGUGAGAGUGGAAAGUUCACACUGUGACGGUAUCUUACCAGAAAGGGACGGCUAACUACGU
rnacentral:rRNA from 1 species